UUCGAAAAGGUCGUUGAAUCACUUCGGGAAUUUGACGCACUUCCGGCCACGAAGACCGUGAUAGUCGCAUUUAAUCUGAGGACUUUUUGGACUUCUACUCGUUCACUUUGACUUGAACCGUGGAAGAGGCGAGAGUGCGAGUAGUUAGUACUUAUAUGUACUUAGUGUCGCGGUGUGUUUAAUUUGCCCAAAGUUCAACAUUAGGGUCAAAGGUGACGUGCGGUCAACUUUUUGUGUGUGCGAAUUGUGUGUAGAAAAGCCGUUCGACGGCUUCUUGUCUAGGAUCGAUUCUAUCGAUAUCCAGGCCAGCUCGGCACACCGCAACUUUUCGCCAAGCGCGCUCUCGACCCCACGCUUCAUCGUCAAGGGUCCCGGAUCGGGGGAGAUCUUGAGAGGAAGGUUCGAUUCUCCGGCAGAGCAAAGGCUUUUUUUGUAAACCCCAACCCGUGGAAACCGUCCACGAAAUCGACGUCCCCGCGUCGAAUGCGAGCGCCAUACUCCGUUGUCGGCGUGAUUCGCAGCACCAGCACGGAAGCCGUCCGUCUGGGAAUCUCCUUAAGCGCAGUUCAUCAUCAUCGCCCCGGCCACCAUUCGUCGGUAUAGGACCACUUGCCGGCCGGGAAGCUGCAAAGACUACGGUACCGUGAGUAGAAAACAAGCAUGCAUGCAUAUCUCCACACACACACGAGCUCGAUCAUCACAAACGAUAGCCUAGGCUAGCCAUCGCUAGAACCAGAAAUAGAAAACCGCACACAAGUAGGAAGCUAGGAAGUGAAAGAGGGAAGAAGGAAGUGAAGAGUAGAGAGUGAGGAAGGAACAAAUAUGAAUAAAACCCUAGGGUAAUCGAAACCGCAAUAAAUGUAUAUCUGUCUUGUUUCCGUUGAAUAAAUGCGUUUCCGUUAAGUAAAGCUUCCAUGUAACGAUAAUUGUAGUCCGAAGGAUUUCUCAUGUUUUUCGCGUCGUUCUAAUUGUAGUUUUUGUUCAGUGUUGUACUCCAGGUUGGGCUGCCCGGUAAAUCAGCCUCAGCACUCACGUGUCCUAGACGGUCAUACGAUUUGGGAAGAG